CCUACGGGAGGCAGCAGUGGGGAAUUUUGGACAAUGGGCGCAAGCCUGAUCCAGCCAUGCCGCGUGCAGAAUGAAGGCCUUCGGGUUGUAAACUGCUUUUGUACGGAACGAAAAGACUCUGGUUAAUACCUGGGGUCCAUGACGGUACCGUAAGAAUAAGCACCGGCUAACUACGUGCCAGCAGCCGCGGUAAUACGUAGGGUGCGAGCGUUAAUCGGAAUUACUGGGCGUAAAGCGUGCGCAGGCGGUUAUAUAAGACAGAUGUGAAAUCCCCGGGCUCAACCUGGGAACUGCAUUUGUGACUGUAUAGCUAGAGUACGGCAGAGGGGGAUGGAAUUCCGCGUGUAGCAGUGAAAUGCGUAGAUAUGCGGAGGAACACCGAUGGCGAAGGCAAUCCCCUGGGCCUGUACUGACGCUCAUGCACGAAAGCGUGGGGAGCAAACAGGAUUAGAUACCCUGGUAGUCCACGCCCUAAACGAUGUCAACUGGUUGUUGGGUCUUCACUGACUCAGUAACGAAGCUAACGCGUGAAGUUGACCGCCUGGGGAGUACGGCCGCAAGGUUGAAACUUAAGGAAUUGACGG
rnacentral:rRNA from 1 species